UUGAAUUUUCUGGCCUGAAUGCCAAGUGCCACGCCUGGAGGAAACCUGGCACCAUCCCUACGGUGAAGCAUUGUGGUGAUAGCAUCAUGCUGUGGGGAUGUUUUUCAGCGGCAGGGACUGGCAGACCAGCCAGGAUCGAGGGAAAGAUGAAUGGAGCAAAGUACAGAGAGAUCCUUGAUGAAAAUCUACUCCAGAGCAUACAGGUGAAACCAGGGGGAACGGCAGACAGGCAGGCAGACAGACAGACAGCAGGGGGUUCCCCUGUCUACAGUACGGGUGAAACCAGUGUGUGUGACCUCCUAGGCUGUAAACUCAGAAUGUUCUCCCUGUACUUCCCACGCUGCCCACAUGGGGAAGGCAGAAAACAAGCUGUACCAUUAACCACCUCUGUACUGGCUUCUCCUGACACAUCUGGGAGCCCACGUGCCUUGGUGAGGGGAGAGAUGGUCUUAGCCCGUGUGGGAGCAGUAGAGAUGGCCUGGCAGUCUGUCAAUAUAUGGAGACAAAUGACAACAGAAGAAUAGG